AGCUACUUGAUUUGGUUUUAGACCAUGAGUUGUGGGUUUCUCAUGCCUUCACGCUGCCCAGAAGCCCCUUCUCCAUCUGACAUCCACCAUAAUCCUGCCUCUGAAUUAUUGAGAGGAGCGAAGCAGGAGCAGCACCAGCAGCAGAAGCAGCGGCUCGGUCUCUGAUUAUCCUGCGAUCGAUACGCCUCGCCUGCCUCGCUAUCACAUCAAACAAGCGGGGGAUAUCGAUCGCACCAAUCACUCACGCUUUUUUUCUUUCCUUCUUUCUUCCUCUCUUAAGGUGCUUUAUUAGCAUCUCUACUCUCUGCUCCCUCUCCUCUCUCCAGCACACAGCCGCCAUGUUGCUGCUAAGCUCUGAAACAUGAUGUAAUGCACACAGACAUGCUCCUGCACACUGAAAGUCAAAUGGGAGAUAAAAAAAAAGAUGCAACUUUUGAAAAGUGGAGCGAGAGGCGCAAAAUAAACCAAAACAUCACAUUUACAGAGGUCCGAUUCGGUGGAGCGACGGUUCGUAGCAGACGGAAAUCUCACGCCCUUCCUUUCGACAGCUCUGGUUGCUCUGCUCAGCUCUCCUCGGGUCUCCUCAGCUUUCCUGGGCAAACUCGGCCCCGAUGUGUGUGUUUGCUCAAGAAAACAGCGAGCGGCAAAAAAACCAUUACAAUUGAGAAAGAGCCAAAUGCCAAAGGAUUACAGCUCUGCUGAGCCCUGGAGAAGACUGGCAGUGGAGAGGAUGAAGAUGAGGAGGUGGAGGAGGAGGAGGAGGAAGAGGCACGUGGGAGGAACUGAAAUGAGGAUAAGAUGAGAAAGAGAGAAAGAGAGAGACGAGGAAGUGGGGUCAUAUAGUGCGCUGUCUCCACACGCAGAAACACCUUGUGCUGGGAUUUGGCCGAUGUUUUCCCAGCACUACGCUGGGAUUUUCACCAGAAUCGGUGCCAUGUGAAACACAAACACAUCCAGGAACACCAGCGCUCGCUUGCCAGGGUGAAGGCAAAACUGUUAGAUGUUAGCUGUUUGGAUUUCACCUUCCGUAUUGCUUUAGCUUGUUUAGGCUUCUCUUGCUAUGCUGUAUAACUGUGACUGUAUGUAAAAGGUGAAGCAAAACCAGCAAAAGCAUUGCGUUUCAGGAUCAUUGUACUCAUUCAGGUACAUGCAGGACACACACUACACAAUGAUACUCGAGUCUUCCGAGAGUCAGAUUGCUGACACGUAUAUAAGCCCUGCUGAGAGGGGGGUUUGGAGGGGGGAUUGAUUUUUCUGAAACGUAUUGAAAUAUAUAUAAUAGCAAUGUAUUUAAAAUAUGUAUUCAAUUUCUGUACUGGGAUUAGCAUCAGGAUGCGUGGGAGGUUUUCCCCAGCCGUGCAUCUCUCUCGGCUCAGCUUCCUCCAUUACAAUUCCUGUCGUCAGCUUAGUUGUGGAAAAUGGCGGCCGAGGCUGUGAGGAAGACGAGCAGAUGGGCGUCAGCGUUCGAGGCACGUGCUCUCAGAGAUUAAGAUUAAGGCCUCUUUGUUAUUAAUAGACAGUUUUAAUCAGGGUGCCUCCCAGGACGCCUGGUCCCUGUUUCUGGCCGAGAUGCAGUGGCGUCCCGAUCCGCAGAGGCGCUGCUGAAACAAGCGCUUUAAAGCGUGCCACGUUUUUGCCACACAUUACACGCAUGAGUGCAGCAGGAUCCCACCCACCCCGAGAAAACUGCACCGGCGCUAUCGAUCAGGAUCGCAGCGUGGACGCCGAAUGCAGAGAAUGCAGCAUGUGUAUCGUGUAAGUAAGAUAUACAGUAUUUCAGUAUUGAAUGUGGUAUGUAGUGUGUGGUACAGUCUAGAACAAUAUUGUAUAUAUUGUAGUGAAGUAUAUCGUGUUAGAAUAUAUUUGAUUUUCUUUAUCUGCAUAUCUAUAUAUUGUCCCCUUAUACUGUACUGUAAGACAGAGUUAUUUUGUGUGUGUGUGUGUGUGUGUGUGUGUGUGUGUGUGUGUGUGUGUUGGUGAAAGCAGUGAUCCUUAGUAAUUGAAGACCAGGGCUGUCAGUGGUGACCUGCAGGAGGCCAGGGAUGAAAUGUAUUCCAUUUUCUCGGGUUGGUGUUGGGAUUGACAGCCUGCUGAGGUCCAGCUCCGACAGGCAGCAACGAAAAGUCACCCUGUCGAUCCAGACUGUGCUCCUGCACACAUCAGCUUUCCUUACUUCUCUCUUUCGCACACACACACACACACACACACACACACACACACACACACACCUGUGAUACAACGACUCACACCGGCUCUGCCCUCCACACCACCCUCUCACACAAUCUCUCUACAGUAUAACACCAUCGAUAUUAUCACACCAUGAUCUUCUCAUCACGCAGGUUUCACACAC